AGUCAAAUUCUGACAGCUGCUUUUGUUGUUGAUGCAAAACUGUAACACGACUUCUUAGUUGCAAUGGCAGGAGAAAAAUCGAUUACGGCUCGCUUUAUGUCAAAUCCAGAGAAGUAUAAGUGCCUCAUUCAGUUUAUGCAGAACGAAGCCUUACUCGAUGAUACUUCUGGACGAACACGUUUCCGAAAUUAUGAACAAGCUGAGGCUUUAUGAUGUCGUGAAAAAUUUAAAGAUGGAAAGAUUGAAUGAGACAGUCAACUUCUUAACAGAGAUUAUGACAAAAGCAUGGGGCUCCAGUGGGACCGUCGAAUGGUGUUUCGUUGGCAAAAAGUUACGUGAGGAAGCAAUUUGAAGCCAACAAAGAAAGAAAAGAUUUAGCUCUUCCUGAUAUCUGCAAAGGAUAUAGGAUUAUUCAAAAUACGUUGGUUCAUUUUAACAACAUCAAAAUUAAAAACUUUCGGGACAUGUGCUUAGUGGACAAAGCUAAAACUAUGCUUAAAUGGCUACAAUUCACUGAAAUUUAUAGUUGACGUUUUGUACGGCCGAAAUUCUAUAGAUAUGGAUCAAACUGAGAAAAUUUCAAGUUUAUCCGAAUCAUUUCAAGACGAUGACGUCGACAUCUGCAUUUUAGAAAACUUUUUGAGAAUUAAUGCUUUUGAAAAAUUAAAAUUUAUGGUGCAGUCGAAAAAAAAUGAAUAAGUACACUUGCGGAAAAUGCUAACGUGUACUUGUCAACAAUGCAGUUCAGUGCGAUUCAUGCUUGCUCUGGUAUCAUUGCACCUGCGUUAAAAUUAAUCUAGCUAAAUUAUCCGAAGUUGAAAAGAAUGAUUGGUUCUGUGCUAAUUGCCUAUGAAUUCACAUUACAUAAUCCAGUAGAGGUUAAAAAUUUAGAAAAAUAAAUGCUAUUAAUAAAGA